AUUAUCUUGGCAGAGUAGUGCAAUAAAUUUAGAAUUUAUUUAAAUAACAUAAGUGUUGUAGAUAAUA
rnacentral:tRNA from 1 species